rnacentral:rRNA from 1 species
GACGAACGCUGGCGGCGUGCUUAACACAUGCAAGUCGAACGCUGAAGCUCAGCUUUUGUUGGGUGGAUGAGUGGCGAACGGGUGAGUAACACGUGAGUAACCUGCCCCCUUCUUUGGGAUAACGCCCGGAAACGGGUGCUAAUACAGGAUAUUCACUGUUCUUCGCCUGGGGGUUGGUGGAAAGGGUUGUUCUGGUGGGGGGUGCGCUCGCGGCCUAUCCGCUUGAUGGUGGGGUGAUGGCAUAGCAAGGCUUUGACGGGUAGCCGGCGUGAGAGGGUGACCUGUCACAGUGGCACGGACAAGCCGCCGAGGCGACGAAGCGAGGCAGCAGCGGCGAAUAUUGGCCAAUGGGCGAAAGACUGAUGCAGCGACGGCGAGUGAGGGAUGGAGGCCUUCGGGCUGUGUACCUCUUUCGCUAAUGGUCAGGCCGCAACAAUGGUUGUGGUGAGGGUAGUGGGUAAAGAAGCGCCGGCUAACUACGUG